rnacentral:rRNA from 1 species
AUUGAACGCUGGCGGCAGGCCUAACACAUGCAAGUCGAGCGAGCGGCGGACGGGCGAGUAAUGUAUGGGGACUGCCCGAUAGAGGGGGAUAACCACCGGAAACGGUAGCUAAUACCGCAUACUAUCGGAUAACACAUAUGGGAUUAACUAGUAGGUGAGGUAGUGGCUCACCUAGGCGACGAACCCUAGCUGGUCUGAGAGGAUGAUCAGCCCCCCUGGGACUGAGACACGGCCCAGACUCCGGGGGAGGCAGAGGUGGGGAAUAUUGCCCAAUGGACGCAAGCCUGAUGCAGCCAUGCCGCGUGUAUGAAGAGGGCCCGGGGGUUGUAAAGUACUUUCUGUCGGGAGGCGUUGCCGACGGGAGAAGCACCGGCUAACUCCGUGCCAGCAGCCGCGGUAAUUC